CGACCAGAACGGCCCUGCUUUUGUGGGGUGCUCGAGUGGCGAACGGGUGAGUAACACGUGAGUAACCUGCCCUUGACUUUGGGAUAACUUCAGGAAACUGGGGCUAAUACCGGAUAGGAGCUCCUGCUGCAUGGUGGGGGUUGGAAAGUUUCGGCGGUUGGGGAUGGACUCGCGGCUUAUCAGCUUGUUGGUGGGGUAGUGGCUUACCAAGGCUUUGACGGGUAGCCGGCCUGAGAGGGUGACCGGCCACAUUGGGACUGAGAUACGGCCCAGACUCCUACGGGAGGCAGCAGUGGGGAAUAUUGCACAAUGGGCGGAAGCCUGAUGCAGCAACGCCGCGUGCGGGAUGACGGCCUUCGGGUUGUAAACCGCUUUCGCCUGUGACGAAGCGUGAGUGACGGUAAUGGGUAAAGAAGCACCGGCUAACUACGUGCCAGCAGCCGCGGUGAUACGUAGGGUGCGAGCGUUGUCCGGAUUUAUUGGGCGUAAAGGGCUCGUAGGUGGUUGAUCGCGUCGGAAGUGUAAUCUUGGGGCUUAACCCUGAGCGUGCUUUCGAUACGGGUUGACUUGAGGAAGGUAGGGGAGAAUGGAAUUCCUGGUGGAGCGGUGGAAUGCGCAGAUAUCAGGAGGAACACCAGUGGCGAAGGCGGUUCUCUGGGCCUUUCCUGACGCUGAGGAGCGAAAGCGUGGGGAGCGAACAGGCUUAGAUACCCUGGUAGUCCACGCUGUAAACGGUGGGUACUAGGUGUGGGGUCCAUUCCAGGGUUCCGUGCCGUAGCUAACGCUUUAACACCCCGCCUGGGGAGUACGGCCGCAAGGCUAAAACUCAAAGGAAUUGACGGGGCCCCGCACAAGCGGCGGAGCAUGCGGAUUAAUUCGAUGCAACGCGUAGAACCUUACCUGGGUUUGACAUGGAUCGGGAGUGCUCAGAGAUGGGUGUGCCUCUUUUGGGGUCGGUUCACAGGUGGUGCAUGGCUGUCGUCAGCUCGUGUCGUGAGAUGUUGGGUUAAGUCCCGCAACGAGCGCAACCCUUGUUCACUGUUGCCAGCACGUUAUGGUGGGGACUCAUUGGAGACCGCCGGGGUCAACU
rnacentral:rRNA from 1 species